UAUUUUCCUUCCUGUUUAGAUACGGUCUCUCACCUAUAAAUAGGUUGUAAUCUCUAUUGAGAACAACAAUAACAAAAUAUUAUAUUUCUACAUGGUAUCAGAGCUAUUCUCGUAGAGAUUUAAUUUCUCUCUCUCUCGUCAAGUUUUAAAAUUUUUGGAGACUUAGGGCUCCUGUUCUUUUGUGUUACCCAUCUAGGGUAAUAUUUGUCUCCCAUCGUCCACCUAGAGAGGACGCCGAAGUUGCUUUGCAACCCGCUUAUCAGAUUUGUGGUUCAUUUGCCGUUUGGAUGUUGGGUGGAGGCGUUUAGUUGCCUUGCAACCCGCUUGUUAGAUCUGCGGUUGAGACAAGUAAAACGUGAUUUUGGGUUACCCAUAAAGGGUAACGUUUGG
rnacentral:lncRNA from 1 species